CUAUGAACAGAUCACCCGCAUAAAGAGAAACUUGAAAACGAAAAAGUGAAAGAUCUGAGUCGCCUUGUGCCUCCCCUCAUUGGCAAGCAGGGAGAGAGGCGAAUCGAACUAAAAUUCAGAUAAAGCUUGAUCGGAAGAACUGUAUACUUUGGAAACCGCAAGGUCUCGUUGCCCUGAGAGUGAAUCACAAAAUAGAUUUCGCCUAUUACGGGAGACCACAAUAGUGAUUGAUUUUACGCAGACCCGUCUUAAGCCUACUGUGCACGAAGUGGAACAGUUGUUCAAGAUGAACAUGGAACUGGUGCUUACAAACGUGUAACAUAUACAGCUACACCGUACGAGACGUGUACUGCCGCUAGAAGCAAUUGUCCCAUGUGUAUAGGGAUUCCCAUAGCACAUUAGACAGUUAUGCUUCUAGCGGCAGUGUAGUACAAAUAACGUUCAGCUUCUUAGCCGAGGCAGAAAGCUACGUAACGAAGAACAACAAGCAACACAACGUCGAAUAUGAAAACGUCAAACACAAGAUCUCCGUGUAAAUCGCCUACACGAUUUGGCACCGCGCACUAGCUCAGUUUAUAUUAACAAAUUCAUGUCGAAGUGUGGAGAAAUGGAAUCCACCACAAACGAAUACGGUGUGAAUAAGGCUGAGCCAAUCUUACUUGACUUUUCAGGACAGAUCAUCUCAAGAGUGGUUGCAUAUCCUUUCUAUAUGAGAAAGGCAAAAUUUUUUGUGUUGUCGCGCUCUUAAACCCGUAACUCCGGAACCGGAUCAACUAAAAAUUCAAUUGCAGCUUAUGGGAGCGUUAUACCGUUUAUUUGAAACUAAGUUUCAGCAAUUUGGUUCAGCCAUCUCUGAGAAAAGUGAGUUUAGAAAACACAUACAGACAUUUGCUGAAAUCGACGAACGGAGUCGAAUGGGAUAUGCCACACGGCCCUCCGGGCCGGCAUUAGAUUGACGAUUUUUAGAGUGAUUGCAUAUCCUUUCUAUAUGAGAAAGGCAAAACGAAUACAUCUAUCCGCUAGUGCCAUCCCAGGGCUAAGGACCUCCUCCCAGGAACGAUCCAGUAUUAUUUUAAUGGAAGGUAGGAUCAAACCAAAAUAGGUUGAAGCAAAUUUAUUAUAUUAAUAAUUAUUAAAGUUAAGAAGUGGCAAAAACGUAAGCGAAGACAUGCUGAAAAAUAUUUGAAUGCAUUCCGGUACAACCGUAAUCUGUACAUGCUUUGAUCAGAAUGUUAUUUCAUCUAACAACGUACACUUGAAGGAAAAAUUUAAAAAGUAUAGAUCUUUUCUGUAUAUUUUCAAUUAAAAAUUAUUUGUUCCACAAAUAGAAAACUUUAA